rnacentral:rRNA from 1 species
GUUGAUCCUGCGGGAGAUUGCUGCUAUUGGGAUGCCAUUUAGCCAUGCAAGUUGGAGGGCUUUUUUCGAAAAGCACAAGCGCAAUGCUCAGUAACACGUCAAUAAUCUGCCCUUGGGUUUGGGAUAACCUCGGGAAACUGAGGCUAAAACCGAAUAGAUAACUUCUACUGGAAUGUUUUGUUAUUUAAAGGCAACGCCCAUGGAUGAGUUGGCGGCUGAUUAGGUUGUUGGUGAGGUAAAGGCUCACCAAGCCCAAGAUCAGUAGGGGCCUUGAGAGAGGGAGCCCCAAGAAGGGUACUGAGACACGGACCCUAGCCCUACGGGGUGCAGCAGGCAGGAAACCUUUACAAUGUACGCAAGUACGAUAAGGGUAUCCCAAGUGCUCAUGUACUACAUGGGCUUUUGCUAAGAGCAAAAAUCUAAGCGAAUAAGUGGUGGGCAAGACUGGUGCCAGCCGCCGCGGUAACACCAGCGCCACGAGUGGGAAUCGUUUUUAUUGAGCCUAAAGCGUUCGUAGCUGGUUUUAUAAGUUCUAGGUGAAAUCGUUUUGCUUAACAAAACGGCGUGCUUAGGAUACUGUAAAACUUGGGACCGGGAGGCGUCAGAAGUAUUUCUGGGGGAGCGGUAAAAUGCUAUAAUCCCAGGAGGACUACCUGUGGCGAAGGCGUCUGACGAGAACGGAUCCGACAGUGAGGAACGAAAGCUAGGGGAGCGAACCGGAUUAGAUACCCGAAUAGUCCUAGCUGUAAACGCUGCGAGUUAGAUGUUGCAUAUUCUUUCAUGAAUAUGCAGUGUCGAAGUGAAGACGUUAAACUCGCCGCCUGGGGAGUACGGUCGCAAGGCUGAAACUUAAAGGAAUUGGCGGGGAAGCGCCACAAGGGGUGCGGCGUGCGGUUUAAUUCAAGUAUACGCGGGAAAUCUCACCAGAAGCGACGGCAGGAUGAUAGUCAGAUUAAAUGUCUUACUAGACGAGCCGAGAGGUGGUGCAUGGUCGUCGUCAGCUCGUACCGUGAGGUGUCCAUUUAAGUAUGGCAACGAGCGAGACCUGUACCUAUAAUUGCUAACAGGUUCUUUUGAAUGACUGAGCACAUUAUAGGGACUGCCUUGGUAACGAGGAGGAAGGUGCAGGCAACGAUAGAUCUGUAUGCCCCGAAUCUUCUGGGCUACACGCGCGCAACAAUGGUAAGGACAAUGGGAUGCAACUCCGAAAGGAGGAGCUAAUCCUCUAAACCUUAUCUAAGUUCGGAUUGAGGGCUGUAACUCGCCCUCAUGACGCCGGAAUCCCUAGUAAUCGUGAUUCACUACAUCACGGUGAAUAUGUCCCCGCUUCUUGCACACACCGCCCGUCAAAUCAACCGAGCAGUGUUAGGGUGAGGCUUUACUUAUGGUAAUGUCGAACCUUAGCUCAGCAAGGCGGGUUAAGUCGACACGAGGUA